rnacentral:rRNA from 1 species
CAGUCGCCGCGGUAAUACGAAGGGUGCAAGCGUUACUCGGAAUUACUGGGCGUAAAGCGUGCGUAGGUGGUGGUUUAAGUCCGUUGUGAAAGCCCUGGGCUCAACCUGGGAAUUGCAGUGGAUACUGGAUCACUAGAGUGUGGUAGAGGAUAGUGGAAUUUCCGGUGUAGCAGUGAAAUGCGUAGAGAUCGGAAGGAACAUCUGUGGCGAAGGUGACUAUCUGGGCCAACACUGACACUGAGGCACGAAAGCGUGGGGAGCAAACAGGAUUAGAUACCCCUGUAGUCCCUGUCUCUUAUAC